CAGGUCUAAUUUCUUGGUGUUUGGAGGUAUCUCACAGCCUACAUGAAAGGUUUUAGGCUCAUCUUGUUCAUAUCCUGCCUCAGAUGCGGAAUCAGCCAACUCCCUGAGCACCCCUACUUCAUUUAAUCAUGUUUACGUGCAAUUCAUAAAACAUCAACCAGAAGCUUCUAUGGCUGCAGAACAACACUUCCACUAAUGAAAACUAUAAAAGCCAGGUAAAAUAAUAAUUUAACAAAACAGCUAGUUGAAGGCAUUAGGGAGCAACCAAGGCAGGAAAGACAUCGGGUUUUAACAUCAGAGAGAGAAGAAAAAGCACGUUCACACGAAGGAAAGCCAGGCGAAUAUCUCUUUAUAAAAAACUAUGUAUUGGCCCGGUGUGGUGGCUCAUGCCUGUAUUCCCAGCAGUUUGGGAGGCCAAGGU